UCUCUCUCGACCAGGGGGGAGACGGUCCUUCACCGAGCUGCGUCCCUGUCUCAAAGAACUAUCUGUCAUUAUCUGGUCCAAGCAGGAGCCUCGUUCAUCAAGACAGACCUACAGGAUGAUGAGAUCAACCAACAGAGUCUGGCUGAGAAACUCAAGGAGCAGAAGAUGGACACAAAUCCGUUUGUACAUCUCCACAAAACUCUGGAGGCACCACAAGCAGCUCAGCCGCCUCAGACACCAGAUCCAAGACCAGCAGAGGAUGAUGGACGAGCUCAUUCAUUUACAAUCAUAAACUACUUCAAUUAGAAGUGCCAGAUUUUAUCAAGCAGACAUCAACAUUAACUCUGGCCACAUUAUACAUUUUAUUUUCCUCCUUUUUGUUUGAACCAGGGCCUGUUACUGGAGCAGACUCAUGACAGACAGCUGGAGAAAGAUGCAACACUACAGAAGCUCAUACUGCUGAAUGAUCAGAGGAUCUGAAGGGCCUCCAGGACACGGUUCCCAGACCGAGACCUUCAAAAUGUGGACUCUGAUUGGCCUGUUUUUGCUAACGAUGCUGAGGUUACCAAAGCAACAGAUCACAAAAGUUCAAAUGGACUCAGGAGAAGAUCGAGAAACAUCCAACGCAAGCAGACGAAAUCAUUUGAAUGAUCACCUGUCUGUCCAGGUAGCUUUGUUUCUUUUCAUCUGAACUCCUCGGUCUUCUUAUAUCUGUGAAUCUGUAGCUCUGGAUUUAUCAACAGGAAGUGCUCUGGAUUUAUCAACAGGAAGUG